AAUAUUGCGCAAUGGAGAGAACUCUGACGCAGCGACGCCGCGUGAGCGCCGAAGGUUUUCGGAUAGUAAAACUCUUUCCUUGGGGAAGAAGGCAGCCGAUUCAGGUCGCUUGACUGUAACAAAGGAGGAAGCUGCAGCUCACUAAGUGCGAGCAGCCGCGGUAAUACGUAGGGGGCAAGCGUUGUCCGGAAUUAUUGGGCGUAAAGGGUGCGUAGGCGGCCUUUUAAGUCAGAUGUGAAAGACCACGGCUUAACCGUGGGGUUGCAUUUGAAACUGGAGGGCUUGAGUAUCGGAGAGGGUAGUGGAAUUCCCAGUGUAGCGGUGGAAUGCGUAGAUAUUGGGAGGAACACCAGUGGCGAAGGCGACUACCUGGACGAAAACUGACGCUGAGGCACGAAAGCUAGGGGAGCAAACA
rnacentral:rRNA from 1 species